GGAAAAUAAUAUAAUUUUUUAAUAAGAAAAACCGAUGAGCUGUAUCCAGUGCACGAUAAUUUUAGGUAAUUACAUUUUAAUGAGUUAAAUUCUAUUUUGUUUGCUAGAAUUCAUUCGAUUCGUCUUUUUCAACGAGUGAUUGCUAUUGAAUCAAAGGAGUCGGACUGCGCUGGUGGCGCCAUAAACAUCUAUACGAGUGACUGAUUCGAUUCACUUAACCAUUCAAAUGAGUCAUUUGUUUGUGAAUCAAACUGAGCACGCUGUUGUAGCAUUACACCUGCUAAGACAAUUCAAUAUGUGCAAUCUGAAUUUAGUAAUAAUAUUUAUUUUGUGGUAAUUCAUGUGGGAAGCUCUGACAGAGAAAAACACUAUAGAUACGUAAGAGGGAGCCGUAAAAUGUAAGUGCAUCAUCUUUUGUUCUUGAAUGGAGGCCUAAUAUGUCUGCUGCACUUGAGCAGGUUCCGUUUUUAGAGUGAAUGAAAACUUUUGAAGCAUAGAUAUGCCGUAUGAUGUGAUUUAAAAUCAUACUACUUUUACUCUGGUGGGGAUUAUUAUGACCAAACAAACUUAAAAGUUUAAUCUGAACACUACAUGUAAUCUGACAUUAUUUAUUUAUUUUUUACAGAAAUUCUGAGCUGCUGCAUGAACUUUCAUCAAACAUAUAAGGCUGCAAUUUGGAAAAAACUUUCAAGCUAAUGCUGCUGAAAUGGAGGUCAAGGGGACUAUGAAGAGGUGGCUCCAGCUGAUCAAAAGGGAGGACUUCAGGAGGCAGACACACUCUGAGUUUAAAAGACCCAUCUCUUUAACCUUCCAUACUCACGACACACUAUCACAUUUCUAUAAUUCAAAUCUCUUAAAGGAUUUUUAUGCUGCACCAAUUAGGGUUACAGUAAUCAGCUGAUCCAGUCGGUAUCCAGACCAGACGGUGGACCUGCACCCAGGAACGACCACAAAACAUCCCUGACUGUCAGCGGAGACCUUGUCAGCUAGAUGAUAGAUCCCUGUGAAGACCUCAUUGAUGGCCCCAGCACAGAUCCUCAGCAAAGACUACGAGAACCAGACAAGCCCUCUGCACAGACCCUUUCUACCAGCUUCACCUGCUGGUAUGAUAUUACUUCAUGCAGAAGAAGUUGGAUGAAAUAUUCUGAAUGAUAUCAAUCCACAAUCUGACUUGUGAUGCAGCCUGGAAUAAUCACACCACGUUCUUUCGUUUGGCCAGACGAGACUGUUUCCUGACUGAGCCGGGUCUUGUUUGGGUUUGGGUUCCUUGUCACUGUUGCCUUUUGUCUUGCUUGGUUGAAGACACCUAAUAUUCAGCAAUAUUAUUGACUUGACUGCACUGACACCAUUUGAUAAGAACUGAACUGAAUUAUGACACACAAUGUUUUAUAUAU